rnacentral:rRNA from 1 species
UCGAGCGAUUCUCUUCGGAGAAAGCGGCGGACGGGUGAGUAACGCGUGGGUAACCUGCCCUGUACACAUGGAUAACAUACCGAAAGGUAUGCUAAUACGAGAUAAUAUGCUUUUAUCGCAUGGUAGAAGUAUCAAAGCUCCGGCGGUACAGGAUGGACCCGCGUCUGAUUAGCUAGUUGGUAAGGUAACGGCUUACCAAGGCGACGAUCAGUAGCCGACCCGAGAGGGUGAUCGGCCACAUUGGAACUGAGACACGAUCCAAACUCCUACGGGAGGCAGCAGUGGGGAAUAUUGCACAAUGGGCGAAAGCCUGAUGCAGCAACGCCGCGUGAGCGAUGAAGGCCUUCGGGUCGUAAAGCUCUGUCCUCAAGGAAGAUAAUGACGGUACUUGAGGAGGAAGCCCCGGCUAACUACGUGCCAGCAGCCGCGGUAAUACGUAGGGGGCUAGCGUUAUCCGGAAUUACUGGGCGUAAAGGGUGCGUAGGUGGUUUCUUAAGUCAGAGGUGAAAGGCUACGGCUCAACCGUAGUAAGCCUUUGAAACUGGGAAACUUGAGUGCAGGAGAGGAGAGUGGAAUUCCUAGUGUAGCGGUGAAAUGCGUAGAUAUUAGGAGGAACACCAGUUGCGAAGGCGGCUCUCUGGACUGUAACUGACACUGAGGCACGAAAGCGUGGGGAGCAAACAGGAUUAGGUACCCUGGUAGUCCACGCCGUAAACGAUGAGUACUAGCUGUCGGAGGUUACCCCCUUCGGUGGCGCAGCUAACGCAU